rnacentral:snoRNA from 1 species
GUGCAAACUCGAUCACUAGCUCUGCAUGAAGUUGCAGAGGCGAGGGGAACCAGGUUUGCUAAAGUCACUGUGGUGGCGGAGCUGGUCGGCCUCGGGCGCUACCCGGGGGCCCCUCCGUCCCACUACAUUG